GACGAACGCUGGCGGCGUGCCUAAUACAUGCAAGUUGAGCGCUGAAGGUUGGUACUUGUACCAACUGGAUGAGCAGCGAACGGGUGAGUAACGCGUGGGGAAUCUGCCUUUGAGCGGGGGACAACAUUUGGAAACGAAUGCUAAUACCGCAUAAAAACUUUAAACACAAGUUUUAAGUUUGAAAGAUGCAAUUGCCUCACUCAAAGAUGAUCCCGCGUUGUAUUAGCUAGUUGGUGAGGUAAAGGCUCACCAAGGCGAUGAUACAUAGCCGACCUGAGAGGGUGAUCGGCCACAUUGGGACUGAGACACGGCCCAAACUCCUACGGGAGGCAGCAGUAGGGAAUCUUCGGCAAUUGACGAAAGUCUGACCGAGCAACGCCGCGUGAGUGAAGAAGGGUUUCGGAUCGUAAAACUCUGUUGGUAGAGAAGAACGUUGGUGAGAGUGGAAAGCUCAUCAAGUGACGGUAACUACACAGAAAGGGACGGCUAACUACGUG
rnacentral:rRNA from 1 species